UGGGGAAUCUUGCGCAAUGGGGGCAACCCUGACGCAGCCAUACCGCGUGAGUGAUGAAGGUCUUCGGAUUGUAAAGCUCUUUCGGCGGGGACGACGAUGACGGUACCCGCAAAAGAAGUCACGGCUAACUUCGUGCCAGCAGCCGCGGUAAUACGAAGGUGGCGAAUGUUGCUCGGAUUCACUGGGCGUAAAGCGUCUGUAGGUGGCUUGUUAAGUUAGAGGUGAAAGCCCCGCGCUCAACGUGGGAACUGCCUUUAAAACUGGCGAGCUUGAGAGUAUCAGAGGUAGGCGGAAUAACUGGUGUAGAGGUAAAAUUCAUAGAUAUCAGUUGGAACAUCCAUGGCGAAGGCAGCUUACUGGGGUAUUUCUGACACUGAGAGACGAAAGCGUGGGGAGCAAA
rnacentral:rRNA from 1 species